rnacentral:rRNA from 1 species
AUUGAACGCUGGCGGCAGGCUUAACACAUGCAAGUCGAGCGGGCGAGGUUGCUUCGGUAACUGAGCUAGCGGCGGACGGGUGAGUAAAGCUUAGGAAUCUGCCUAUUAGUGGGGGACAACAUUUCGAAAGGGAUGCUAAUACCGCAUACGUCCUACGGGAGAAAGCAGGGGAUCACUUGUGACCUUGCGCUAAUAGAUGAGCCUAAGUCGGAUUAGCUAGUUGGUGGGGUAAAGGCCUACCAAGGCGACGAUCUGUAGCGGGUCUGAGAGGAUGAUCCGCCACACUGGGACUGAGACACGGCCCAGACUCCUACGGGAGGCAGCAGUGGGGAAUAUUGGACAAUGGGGGGAACCCUGAUCCAGCCAUGCCGCGUGUGUGAAGAAGGCCUUUUGGUUGUAAAGCACUUUAAGUGGGGAGGAGGCUCUCUUGGUUAAUACCUAAGAAGAGUGGACGUUACCCACAGAAUAAGCACCGGCUAACUCUGUGCCAGCAGCCGCGGUAAUACAGAGGGUGCGAGCGUUAAUCGGAUUUACUGGGCGUAAAGCGCGCGUAGGUGGUUAAUUAAGUCAAAUGUGAAAUCCCCGAGCUUAACUUGGGAAUUGCAUUCGAUACUGGUUAGCUAGAGUAUGGGAGAGGAUGGUAGAAUUCCAGGUGUAGCGGUGAAAUGCGUAGAGAUCUGGAGGAAUACCGAUGGCGAAGGCAGCCAUCUGGCCUAAUACUGACACUGAGGUGCGAAAGCAUGGGGAGCAAACAGG